CUGACAGUAUGCCGAAGGGGUGUUUGUGCCUGCAGAGAGCUGCACUUUCGAGGGCCAUGUGCACCACAGAAUCUGAACGCUCUUCAGAGGGCUUGUCGACCCUUAGGGUGAAAGACGUCUAAGCUGGCCAUGGCUGAACCCCAGCUGGCUCUGUGUGUUGUGGUGUGCCAUAGCAAAGAAGAUUGCCCAAAGACCUGUGAGCUAUUGUGCAGAGUCAGCCAAGAUGGUCUGCAGGAGCCAGUCUGGAGCCAGAGGUGAAGCUUCACCUUCAUACAGGCUCACUCAGUUAAUGAGAUGUGACACUUGGCAUGCUGCUAAUAAGAAAGAGAGAUCCGAAGAAAUGCAUGCCUCGCUUCUGAAAUGUUGCUGCAGGCCCCUUUUCUGUACAUCUGGUCUACUAAGGGCUGGUCUGAAUGUCUACGGAUUUCUUCAGUUCAAGUUUUUAUUGACUGCUGACCGAACUCAGUCUGCAACUGCGCCUUUUAUAGCUGUGCAGUCCGAGCUGACACGACUAUGGGACUGCAGAUUGGCUCUGGAGGACCGACAGCUGAAUUAAAUUCCAUGCGCAGUUGCUCUGAUGCAAACUCACCAAAGAUGCAGGAGUUACACAGGCAUACAGUAGCUGAAAGCAGACCUCGUCUGCAGAAGAGAAGGUCUGAAGAAGAGGGGAGAUUAAAGCAGCCACUUCAAGUCUGAGGUUCCAGACUAAGAAAAAACCCCCAGAGAUGUAGGGGAAAAAAAGGGGGCAGGGUAUUUUUGCUUCUAGG
rnacentral:lncRNA from 1 species